rnacentral:rRNA from 1 species
AGAAUCAACGCUGGCGGCGUGCCUAACACAUGCAAGUCGCACGAGAAAGGGGAGCAAUCCCUGAGUAAAGUGGCGCACGGGUGAGUAACACGUGAAUAAUCUACCUCCGAGUGGGGAAUAACUGAGAGAAAUCUUAGCUAAUACCGCAUAACACUUACGAGUCAAAGCAGCAAUGCGCUUGGAGAGGAGUUCGCGGCCGAUUAGUUAGUUGGCGGGGUAAUGGCCCACCAAGGCGAAGAU